GGAGAGGUGGCCGAGUGGCUGAAGGCGCGCCCCUGCUAAGGGUGUAUACGUUCAUAGCGUAUCGAGGGUUCGAAUCCCUUCCUCUCUGCCA
rnacentral:tRNA from 1 species